AGUGAACGCUGGCGGUAGGCCUAACACAUGCAAGUCGAACGGCAGCACAGUAAGAGCUUGCUCUUACGGGUGGCGAGUGGCGGACGGGUGAGGAAUACAUCGGAAUCUACUUUUUCGUGGGGGAUAACGUAGGGAAACUUACGCUAAUACCGCAUACGACCUACGGGUGAAAGCAGGGGAUCUUCGGACCUUGCGCGAUUGAAUGAGCCGAUGUCGGAUUAGCUAGUUGGCGGGGUAAAGGCCCACCAAGGCGACGAUCCGUAGCUGGUCUGAGAGGAUGAUCGGCCACACUGGAACUGAGACAGGGUCCAGACUCCUGCGGGAGGCAGCAGUGGGGAAUAUUGGACAAUGGGCGCAAGCCUGAUCCAGCCAUACCGCGUGGGUGAAGAAGGCCUUCGGGUUGUAAAGCCCUUUUGUUGGGAAAGAAAAGCAGCAGGUUAAUACCCCGCUGUUCUGACGGUACCCAAAGAAUAAGCAUCGGCUAACUUCGUG
rnacentral:rRNA from 1 species